rnacentral:misc_RNA from 1 species
AGAAUGGCUCAAUAUGCUGAAGAACUAUGGACUUUGCUCCAAAAAGACAACACCUUCAUCUACAUGUGUGGACUCAAGGGCAUGGAGCAGGGAAUUGAUGAAAUUAUGUCUUCACUUGCAGAAAGAGAUGGUAUUGUCUGGGCGGACUACAAGAAUGGCUCAAUAUGCUGAAGAACUAUGGACUUUGCUCCAAAAAGACAACACCUUCAUCUACAUGUGUGGACUCAAGGGCAUGGAGCAGGGAAUUGAUGAAAUUAUGUCUUCACUUGCAGAAAGAGAUGGUAUUGUCUGGGCGGACUACAAGAAGCAAUUGAAGAAGGCAGAGCAAUGGAAUGUUGAAGUUUACUAAAUAUUUUUACUUUUCUUUGUACAAAUAUGAGCCAACAUUAUGCUUCUCUCCCCCUGCAUCCAUGUAGAUAGGUAAAUUUUUCCUUUGAAAUUUUAAUUUCAUUUUUUGGGACUUCCCUUUUUAAAUCUAUGUGUAUCUUUUAAUGAAUCGGUGUAUUGGCAUUUGUCCCUCUAAAAAGUUGAAUUUUGAGGGCAUGGAUCAAUAACAUAUAGCUGAAUCAACCAAAAAUCACAAUAUCUUGUUCUUUUUUUCAUUUUCU